rnacentral:rRNA from 1 species
GACGAACGCUGGCGGCGUGCCUAAUACAUGCAAGUAGAACGCUAAAGGAGGAGCUUGCUCUUCUGGAAGAGUUGCGAACGGGUGAGUAACGCGUAGGUAACCUGCCUGGUAGCGGGGGAUAACUAUUGGAAACGAUAGCUAAUACCGCAUAAGAUUGAAUAUCGCAUGAUAAUUGAUUAAAAGAUGCAAUUGCAUCACUACCAGAUGGACCUGCGUUGUAUUAGCUAGUAGGUGAGGUAACGGCUCACCUAGGCGACGAUACAUAGCCGACCUGAGAGGGUGAUCGGCCACACUGGGACUGAGACACGGCCCAGACUCCUACGGGAGGCAGCAGUAGGGAAUCUUCGGCAAUGGGGGCAACCCUGACCGAGCAACGCCGCGUGAGUGAAGAAGGUUUUCGGAUCGUAAAGCUCUGUUGUAAGAGAAGAACGAGUGUGAGAGUGGAAAGUUCACACUGUGACG